rnacentral:rRNA from 1 species
UACGAAGGGUGCAACCGUUGCUCGGAAUCAUUGGGCGUAAAGCGCACGUAGGCGGCCUGAUAAGUCGGAUGUGAAAUCCCUCGGCUCAACUGAGGACGUGCAUUCGAAACUGCCAGGCUCGAGUAUGGAAGAGGGUCGCGGAAUUCCCGGUGUAGAGGUGAAAUUCGUAGAUAUCGGGAGGAACACCAGUGGCGAAGGCGGCGACCUGGGCCAAUACUGACGCUGAGGUGCGAAAGCGUGGGGAGCAAACAGG